rnacentral:rRNA from 1 species
AAAUUGAAGAGUUUGAUCAUGGCUCAGAUUGAACGCUGGCGGCAGGCCUAACACAUGCAAGUCGAACGGUAACAGGAAACAGCUUACUGUUUCGCUGACGAGUGGCGGACGGGUGAGUAAUGUCUGGGAAACUGCCUGAUGGAGGGGGAUAACUACUGGAAACGGUAGCUAAUACCGCAUAACGUCGCAAGACCAAAGAGGGGGACCUUCGGGCCUCUUGCCAUCGGAUGUGCCCAGAUGGGAUUAGCUAGUAGGUGGGGUAACGGCUCACCUAGGCGACGAUC